CAUAGGAAUAAUUACACGAAACACAUAUUAACAUGAUAUUUUGAGGACAGCCUAAAUGCAAUCCGCUACACUAAGGACAGCCUUAAUGCAAUCCGCUACACUGAUCCCCUUUGCCCACAAGCUGGCAUACACAGUCUGAUCCUCCACAUAUCGGCUUGGGGAUGUCCGGGGUUGCUCACGGAUCAUUUUUCCAAGUCUGUUUGUCUAGACAACCCGUCGGCGUUUCCAUUCUGUUUCCCCGGGUGGUACUGGAUGUUGAAGUCAAAUGGCUGCAGCGCCAAACUCCAGCGCAGCAGCCUGGCAUUGUCCCCCUCCACCCGGUUCAGCCAUACCAAUGGAUUGUGAUCUGUGAGCAAGGAAAAUGGCUGUCCAUACAAAUAUGGCUGCAACUUCUUCAGGGCCCACACCACCACCAGGCAUUCCUUCUCGAUGGCGGCAUAGCUUACUUCGCGGGGUAAUAACUUGCGACUGAUGUAAGCCACGGGAUGUUCUCCACCAUCGGCCCCGACUUGGCUCAGUACUGCCCCCAAUCCAAACAUAGAAGCAUCUGUGUGAACAAGAAAACGUUUAGUUGGAUUUGGAGCAGCCAAGACAGUGGCAUUUACAAGAGCAUUUUUCAAGUGUUGGAAUGCCUACUCAGACUCUGGGGUCCAGGUUACUUGGCGGGGAAGAUUCUUACGGGUAAGGUCAGUAAGGGGCUUGGCCAGUGCGCUAUAAUUGGGCACAAACUUUCUAUAGUACCCCGCCAUCCCUAGAAACGCUAACACCUGAGUCUUGGUCCUCGGGGUGGGCCAUUGGGCUACAGCCUCUACUUUGGCAAGCUCUGACCUUUGCUUCCCACAACCUACUCGGUGUCCAAGGUACUGGACCUCGGCCAUUCCUAUACUACAUUUAGCAGGUUUCAACAUCAAGCCUGCUUCCCUGAUUCUAUACAGAACCGCUCCUAUAUGGGCCAAGUGCUCCUGCCAGGUAUUGCUGAAGAUGGCAAUAUCAUCUAGAUAUGCGCAGGUAUAGUCUUGGAACCCGUCUAUAAGUCAGUCCACCAUCCGCUGAAAGGUAGCCGGAGUGUUUUUCAUCCCAAAUGGCACGACCUUAAAUUGGUACAGGCCGAAUGGGGUGACAAAUGCUGACUUAGGGAUGGCAUCCGGGGCCAAGGGAAUCUGCCAAUACCCCUUGUACCACAAGCACCGCACUGGACACCACAACCACUCCAGACUCCACAACCGCCGUAGCUUAACUGGAGCCUCGCCAUCUUCCAUCCACCCUGGAUCAGCUUCUAUCCUCCAGGACCGUGUGGGGAAGACCUCUCCUCCAGGAGAGCGUAUCAGGAACAAGCUCUUAAAAGAGCUAAGCGAUUCAAGCUCAGGGGAGUAUGCAGAGCAUAGCAUUCCCCAGUGUGAUUAUAGCAGCUCCCUCCAAUAACGAGACAAGGCUAUGUAUUGAGGGUCAAACAGGAUCUCUUUUACUUGGCACCAAAGGGCCUUACACAGUCCAAUAAAAGUCCAUAAGCCCAAAUGCUGAUUUAAGAGGGUACAAUCUCCCCGGGGCCAUAGUCGCAGGGGAGGAGGCAGGCAAGCUGGCCUCUCCAGGACAAAGUGGCGAAGGGCACUUCAUCACACAUCUCCCCUUUGGGGGGAAGACUAACUAGGCACCUGACCUUCUGUCGUCAGUGCCUAAGUUAGUC